rnacentral:rRNA from 1 species
AUGAGGAUUCCUGCACUAAGCCUUGCCGGCGUUCCCGGCCACCAAGGUUUUAUUGGGCUGAGGCUUUCUUUAGUUCGGUUUGGUUUGGGUUUGGAGAGAAACCAGUUUGGGUUAGUUGGUUAUGGGCUGAAACCGUUUGAUGUAUUAUGGGCUAUAAACUGUGGGUACAACCCGGUUCUCUGUAUGGGUUCAUUGCCUUCGACUGCUCCCCAACCCACGCGCCGCCCGUCUUCGCCCUCGCCGCCGCCCGCACGCCCCCCUGUCUCUUCCCCCUCGCCGUCCCUUCCUUGCGCCACCGCCUCGCCGUCCCCCUCCGGCGCCGCCCCCUCCUUGGGACAGAAGAUCCAGCAUGAGCUACCCCGAGCUGGCCCUCCCAUCGUUGCCGCCGCCCCUCCUCGUCCGUUAGGGUUGAGGUCGCCGGGCCGUCUCCGCCGCGCCACCUUCCCUCCGUCGGCAGCCGACAGUGGUUAUAUAUUGAUAGAGACCUCACUUGAUGUUAUCAUGACCAACUGUGCUUCCGGGGGCUGUUCCAAUAUUUUGCUUCAUGGGUUAUAUGCAUCCAUAACAUCCUCACUUCAGUUUCCAUUUGAUUUCAGUCCUCUACUCAGACCACUAACACCAGUCUUCCUCUCCUUUGCUGUUAUGCAGAAAUGCCACGUCAAGAACAAGGAUAUCGGGAAGUUCUUGGAUGGUAUCUACGUCAGCGACAAGGGCGCCAUCAAGGAGGAGUAG